rnacentral:misc_RNA from 1 species
CCGAGUUAUACAACUCAUCAACCCUGUGAACAUACCUAAAACGUUGCUUCGGCGGGAACAGACGGCCCUGUAACAACGGGCCGCCCCCGCCAGAGGACCCCUAACUCUGUUUUUAUAAUGUUUUUCUGAGUAAUCAAGCAAAUAAAUUA